UAUCGGAGCGACGGUUUCGUUUUUUAUCUACUAUUCAAAGUCCAAUUAAUCAUCAAUAUGCAAGAUUUCUCAUUGUUUAUCUGUUCUAGUUCAGUUCAGUUUAGUUCAGUUUUGUAGUAAUUACUUAGUUUCAGGAGGGCCGGGUCGGGUGAUCCAGGUGGCACCUACAUGGCCCGAGUCCUGAAGGAUAGCACAGGAGUGGCGGGAAGCUGUCACAGAACACUGCGGUCAUAGCACGCAAACAGCACUAGAAUUCCCAAGUCGCGUAGAUUGAGUAAAUUAGGAAACGCACCUACGCAUUCGUCAGUUUUUAUUGGUAAAGUCACAGUUUGCACUCUUCACUGCUAAUUACGCGCGGUGUGUGUUGGUGUCGAUGUUUUCGAUCAGACUGGAACCAGACUUGCUGUCGACUUCCACUUGCUCUCCCAACACUCGAAGACGAUUUCACAAUUUUUGAGGCGAUUUGAGGGCCGGCAUCGCGCGAACGGCGCCUACCUUCGUACUGAUUUUAAUUGCACCAAAACAACGAUAAGUAGUCUAAGGCGAGCUUUUACACACACGAGCAUAUGGAGAGAUUAGCAUACGUUGGGUGCCUUCAGAUAAAUCAGAUCCCAUUGGUACGACUAUCUCACAAGGACUUGAUUGGUCGUUCUUUUGCAUGGAAUGGCGGAGUUACUCGCCAUUUUUAGCGGGGCAGCGCUCAGGACCGGACUCGGCACGAGGGAAUUCCCCGAGGAGACCUACCUGGAAGAGGUUUCAACCAGAGAAAAAUAAAGUUGUGCUUUUUUGGCUUUUGGUUUUUAGCCAGUUCCAGGGUGUUUCAUUUUUAUUGAUACAAAUUUAAACAUUCAAUUUUAAGACAAAAGUUUCCUAUAAACAUGUAUCGAAAAAUGUACCCUUCUUCUAGAAGAUUUUCCCCAAUAUUUCAGAAACCAUAGCAGAUAAAAUUACAAACUUUGCUACAGUUGAUAAUCUUAAUUGAUAAGCCGAAUUGAAUUCAAAGAUCAAAUGUGGAAAUUUUUAAUCAGGAGCUUCCCAAACUGUAUAAUAUAGCAAAAAAUAAUCUAACUAUUGAGGCUUUAGUUUUUUGACACUUUCAGCAACGAAAACUUCAAUUAUUCCAACAGUUUUUUACACAAAAAUAGUUUCUUGUGUUGUUUCGAUAAAAGUCACCGUUUUUGAGUAAAAUCAAGCAUGAAAAUCAGGAAGGACGACUAGAACGAAAUUGAAGUCUAGAUUUUUUGAGGUUAGACCUUUUGAGGUAAAAGGCAUCUUUAGGACAGGUUCUGGACGUUCAUUCCUGAUUUUCAGAUUGUUUAUGGUUUAUGGUCUGUAACGUAACGUUUAAAGGCAUAUUGAUAACUUAAAAAACAACUUUGUCCUAAAUGAUAGUACUGAAAACGCUUAUUACAGAAGUGAAAACCGUUUCCCUGUAUCUGCUCUCUAACUCAUAACGUCAUAACCGCCUAUCGAGCAUUUGGUCCAACAAUAAAAUCAAAUAGUUUAAGUGUCACAGUCAGAGUUUAUCAAGACAAAAUUUUACUAAAAAGUAGUUAAUUUGUGAUUUUGUGAUAAGAGGAUCCUGAGAUGAGACAACACAAGAGACCAUUUUUUCUAAAAAUCUAAUUUGCGAUUUUGUUGCUGGAAGUGUUAAAAAACAAGCCAUACAGUCUCCCAGUUUGGAACGCGCAUGAUUCAAAAUUUCUACAUUUCAUCUUCGAAUUCGAUUACCUAGACGUAUAAAGGAUGAGUAUAAAGGUUAUAAACUGUACUAAAGUUUGGAAUUUUAUCUGUAAUGGUUUCUGAAAUAGUAAGAAAAACCUAGUAAAAGAAACACCCCUUUGAGAGGAUAUAGCUACCUUAAAAAGUAUUUGUCGAUGAUGUUUGUUUUAAAAUUAAAUGUUUAUUUUCACAUAUCGACAAAAUUUCGAUUGCAGUAAUGUCGUAUCAUUCUAAACAAAACCGAUGCAAGUUAGCAUCUCAAGCAUCUCAUCUCACACUCCGGAUAGUCAAGAAUAGUACUCUUAAUAAUACUUAUCACUACACAAAACGUUUAAAAAAAAUAAAAUCAUUACAGCCAAAAGAUAUUAAAGGAUA